rnacentral:other from 1 species
AGUUAAUGACGUAGGGUACAGAGGUAAGAUGUUCUAUCUUUCAGACCUUUUGUUUCACGUUAUUGGAUUUGGCUGAUCAGCCGCCCUGGUCGAUUGACCAGGGCGUUUUUUC